UCUGCUGACUGUGGGUGCAAUCCAAAGGCAGCUUGGUCUUAGCCUCUCAUUGUUCAUUUGGACCAUUCAGCAAGGGAGGCAUUUUCCCUUUCCCCUGGGGACUGGGGGGGGAGGGGGAGGGGAAGCCCGGCCCACCCCACGCCUCUUCCAGUUAGACUCAGGUUUGGUCACUUUAUGUCACAAAAUCUACCUUCGAUUUAGAGGUUUAAGGCAUCCAGUCAUAGAUAUGAAAUGCCACUCCUGUUCCUUCAAAGAUAAAUCUUCUUCCUCCUGCCCUUCCUAGGUCUGUGGUUGGGGUGUGGGCCUUCGGGGAUUGGGCUGUGGUAAGCCCCUAGGAAUCCAGGAUCCCCUGCCAACUUCUUCCUGCUGAGCUCCCUUUGCCCCUCCAGGAGGCGCUACAGGACAUAACCCUAUUUUGGACCUCUCUGCUCCGGGGACUGCCUCUGGUCCAUAGGAGGCACUCACAUGGCUCCUGCCCCAAUCCCAGUGCACAGGUGUGGGGGCCCACAGCUCUAAAUGGCUUCACAGACGCCCAUAUCACAAGGCUUGAGAUGGAGGUGGCAGGGCCUCCAGCCCUACUGGAGGUGGAGCUCAGAGCAUAGCUUUACUCUCUCAGAAGUGUUUUCUCUUUCCAAACCCUCCUGUCCUCCACACUCUGACCCUUUCUAUAUGCUUGAUAGGUUGAAGGGCCCAACUGCUGUGCAACUGGUUCUUUCUUCAUUGCUUCCUUUGUAAAUACUGCCUAUGAGGCCUCCCACCUACUGAUAUUCACACCAUGGUGGCAUGUCCUCCUACCCUGAACAGGGCUCAUCCUUGUAAAAUAAACACUUGCUAUUGCAGAAAAGAUAGUCUGCAACUUCUGAGGCUAGGUCACGGCCGUGGGUUCCAAUGUGUACCGCAAGAAGAUAUGUCGAAGUUCCAGCCCCCAGUAUUUGUGAAUGUGACCUUAUUUGGGAAUAAAGUCUGUGCAGAUGUAAUCAAAGGUCAUAUUGAAUUAGGAUAGGUCCUAAAUCCAAUGACUGGUGUCCUUUAUACGGAGAGAGGGACGCAGAACAGACGCACACAGAGAAGGUGAAGACGGACGCAGAGUUUGGAGUUAGGCUGCCACAAACCAAGGAACAUCUGCGGCCACCAGAAACUGGGACCGGCCAGGAAGCUUUCUCCCCUACACCCUAUGGAGAGGGUGUGGCCCUGCUCACACCUUGAUUUCAACUUCUGGCCUCCAGGACAGUGACAGAGUAAAUAUCUGUUCUUUUAAGCCACCCUGUUUGUGGUACUUUGUUAUGGCUGCCCUAAGAAGCUAAUCUAGUUAUAAGAGACAUUGUAAAGUCCCCUCGCUCUCUCUUGACUCAUAUCCUGGAGAAAGCUGGCUGCCAUGUCAUGAGGCUACCCAAGCAGGUCUAAGGAGAGGUCCACAAGGCAAGGAACAGAGCGGGGCCUCCUGUCAACAGCUUGUCACCGUGUGAAUGAGCAGAUCCCACAGCCCCAGUCGAGCCGUCAGAUGACUGGGGCCCUCGUUGGCAUUUGACUGCCACCUCCUGAGAAAUCAUGAGCCAGAGCACCUGGUUAAGCCAUUGCCCAGUUCCUGACCCACAGAAACUGUGAGACAAUAAAUGUUUAUUAUUGUUCUAAGCUAUUAAGUAUGAAAGUAAUGCGUUGUGUGGCAACAGAUUACUAAUACCGAUAUCGGUGAUAUUGGGGGCUCAGUAUAACCCGAAGCAGGAGGAGUUGCAUUUUGUAAUUCUCACAUGGCUCUUAGAAUGGUCAGGGGCCCCAGUGCCUUUCUCUCUGGGGACAUUUCCAGCAGUGCGCUUCACAGCCAUUGUAGUGAGGUGUCUUACUCAUUCACCCAGCCAUGAGCACCUUCCACCUGCCAGGUGCUAUUCAUGGCUGGUGGCCAUUAUGGCUGUUCCUCAGCUAGUGACAGAUAUGAACAAGAAGGGCGACACUCAUUUGCAGAGGCAGGAGGAGGAGGGGCCGUAGAGACACCGAGAAGAGGAGCCUUCAUCUGUGUGAUCGUGCAGAGAUGGGAAGAGAACCAAGUUCAAGGGUCCACAUGAACCAAGCUCAAGGGUGGUGAAGCUAGAACUAGGAUCUUGUGUCUGCUUUGCCACCCUGACCAAGUCACACUUGCAGAUCCUUUGAACAGCCAAGGACACAUCAGCAGCUCCUUCUGAACCAGCACAAGCCGGAGGGUGAGAAGGUUGGCCCUCCCUCCAUCGGAGUCCCAGCCCUUCUUAGCGGUGGUGCUUUUUAAAGAGGCUGGAUCAGAAUUUGUCACUCCCAAAGACUCUUCUAUCAGGUCAAUAUUUGAAAUGGGGCAACUUUAAGUGAACCAGGUAUAUCAAUGGAGACGGACGGACAUUUGAGGCCGGAAGGUUGUUUCCUGUUUUUUGGAGGUUUUCUUUUCCAGCUUUAAGACGGCUCCCCGUGUCAGGUGAUGAGUGUGAUUAACUGCAAUGAGCUCCUGGCGACAUA